GCACAAGAAUUCCGUAUCUCUGCCCAGGAAGUGUUGGAGUUUGGGGACAAGGUGUCCUUUCCUGCUACUGCUGCCCCCCUCAGACAACGUGUGUACAGCCCCAGGCCAGAACAACCCCUACUCCCUCUGAUCAGGCUUUCUCACCUUGCCUCUGCAGGUCUUUGAGCUGGGCAGACCAUCUAUGGGAGGAAGGAUGUCAGCGUUGAGCAGCAGCUGAAACCUGGUCCUGACAGUCCGAACGCUCCUUGGUGACAACUACACCAGGCUCCAGAGCAUCGAAGCUGUAAAACAGGGAAUAGCAACAACAACAACAACAAAAAGACAUUACAACACUGCACAACAUCAAUUCACCUCCCACGUUUAGAUAAGAAGAAUAACCUCAUACAAUGCACUGAAAAUGAUUGUCACCUGAAGUGCUGGUACUGCUUCAUCUGUGGCAGUGGCCUGAAAUACGGAGUCAGGUGUUGUUGCCAGCCAUAGCUUUCCACCAGCACCGUACCAUCCUCCAGUGCAACCAGCUGUCACAGUGCGGUCCUUCACAACACCAUCAAUCUCAGACAAAGUGUUCACAAACAGAGCUCCACACUGCCAAGCAGAAACACCAGCAGAUCCAGGAGCACAUGCAGGUAGAUGGAAGUCCUAGCUGAUAUAACCAUAACCCUGAUAUCUUGAUAUGGAUUUAGUCUCCAGGUGCUCAAUAGUGAUAACUAGAGCCAUAUAAGUGCUAAAAUAGCAUCACACAAAGAGCUAAUAGAUUACAGGUCAUCUGGAGCUCAAUUAUAGCACAUGAUGUUUCAAAGAGCACUAAAAGUAAACAAUAUAUUUUUCCUGCGUGUUUCCCCUUUCUACAUCAAAUGAAGGAGGUGUGGCGGGAGGCUCGGUGGAUCAUAGAUGCUAUACAGUAUGCCCGCUACAAGCAGCCCACAGGUGGCAUUUCCCUGGCCUGGAUCAUCAACCUCUCCAGUGAGGUGUUGUCUGACAUGCCCCGCUCCACCUCCUCCCAGCCAGACCACCUGCCCUUGCCUAUGCCCUCCUGAACCCAGCCGCAAGCACUCUGUAGACUUCCACGGUUUCUCCUACAAAGAGGGCUACUCUGAGGUCUUCCUUACCACCAACAGUGACUACAAUUCCAGCCAUGCCCAGAGCCCCCACGACAGUGUUGUAGGAGGGGGUGGAGAGGGUUCAGGGAUGGGGGAUCUGAGGGACACCACCCCCAACGUCCUCCAGGCCUCGGAGCCCCAAACAGGCCCUUUCGGCGAACGACAGCUGAGCAGAGUGGGGCCCGGGGGGAGAGGCGAAGUGACAGCGACUUCAUCUUACCCAGCCGGCAGAUCGAUCUACUGA
rnacentral:lncRNA from 13 species